rnacentral:rRNA from 1 species
CCUACGGGUGGCAGCAGUGAGGAAUAUUGGUCAAUGGGCGAGAGCCUGAACCAGCCAAGUCGCGUGAAGGAUGACGGCCCUACGGGUUGUAAACUUCUUUUGUCAGGGAGCAAUUGGGUCCACGCGUGGGCUUAGCGAGAGUACCUGAAGAAAAAGCAUCGGCUAACUCCGUGCCAGCAGCCGCGUUAAUACGGAGGAUGCGAGCGUUAUCCGGUUUUAUUGGGUUUUAAGGGUGCGCAGGCGGCGAGUUAAGUCAGCGGUAAAAUUUCGGGGCUCAACCCCGCCGAGCCGUUGAAACUGGCUGGCUAGAGUGGGCGAGAGGUAUGCGGAAUGCGUGGUGUAGCGGUGAAAUGCAUAGAUAUCACGCAGAACUCCGAUUGCGAAGGCAGCAUACCGGCGCCCAACUGACGCUCAGGCACGAAAGCGUGGGUAUCGAACAGGAUUAGAUACCCGUGUAGUC